GUCCAGCUGACGAGUGCCAAAUAGGACGAAACACGAGUCCUGGAU
rnacentral:hammerhead_ribozyme from 1 species